rnacentral:rRNA from 1 species
UGGGGGAUAUUGCACAAUGGGGGAAACCCUGAUGCAGCAACGCCGCGUGAAGGAAGAAGGUCUUCGGAUUGUAAACUUUUGUCCUCAGUGAAGAUAAUGACGGUAGCUGAGGAGGAAGCUCCGGCUAACUACGUGCCAGCAGCCGCGGUAAUACGUAGGGAGCGAGCGUUGUCCGGAUUUACUGGGUGUAAAGGGUGCGUAGGCGGACUGGCAAGUCAGUGGUGAAAACUAUGGGCUUAACCCAUAGACUGCCAUUGAAACUGUUGGUCUUGAGUGAAGUAGAGGCAGGCGGAAUUCCCGGUGUAGCGGUGAAAUGCGUAGAGAUCGGGAGGAACACCAGUGGCGAAGGCGGCCUGCUGGGCUUUAACUGACGCUGAGGCACGAAAGUGUGGGUAGCAAACA